rnacentral:tRNA from 2 species
GGAGGAAUGGCAGAGUGGUUGAAUGCACCGGUCUUGAAAACCGACGUACCGCAAGGUACCGGGGGUUCGAAUCCCUCUUCCUCCG